rnacentral:lncRNA from 1 species
AUUCUCCUGCCUCAGCUUCCGGAGCAGCUGGGACUGCUGGCGCCCGCCACUACGCUCGGCUAAUUUUUUUGUGUUUUUAGUAGAGACGGGCUUUCACCGUGUUGGCCUAGCGGUUCUCCAACUCCUGACCUCAUGAUCCCCCCGCCUCAGCCUCCCAAAGUGCUGGGAUUACAAGCGUGAGCCACCGCGACCCGCCAACACUCUUGACAACAGUGCUGUGCUAAGAACUUGGGGGACUUCAAAAAGUUCACCAGUUCCUGUGUCCAUGGGUGAAAAGAUUUUCUACAUCUUUCCUUGACUAGAAACAGAAGUCCUGAAACAAGAAUAUAACGUCAGGAGGCCAGAGGCUUUGUCCUGCCUAAUGUGUUAUUUCCACACUGAAUAAAAGCACCUGAGUCCUGCAUUUUAAAAAGGUUGUACAUCUAGCAAUACCUAACAAAAUAGGAAAUCAACUUGAGAAAAAGCAGCAAGGCCAAAUAAAUUGAUACAGAAGAAAUGUUUAGAUAUGUUUUUGCAAGUUUCUGCAUAUCUGAAAUAGAACCAAUACAUCACAUGGAAAGCCAAUGGCUGUGUUUUGAGUUUAUGGAGAGCCAUAUGUGGCAAGGAACUGAGGGUGGCAUCCAGGCAACAGACUUCAAGAAACUGAGGCUGUCAGUCCAACAACCCACAAGAACUGAAUCUGACCAACAAUCACAGGAACAAACUUAGAAGUAUACUCUUUCCCAGACAAACCUUCAGAUGAGACCACAGCCCCAGCCAUAAGCUUGAAAACAAUCUCAUGAGGGACCUUGAGCCACAGGCAUGUAGUAAAGCUAUGCCAGGAAUCCUGCCUGCCCCACAGAAAAUGUAAAAAAAAUAAAUUUUUAUUGUUUUAAGCCA